rnacentral:rRNA from 1 species
UACAGAGGUCUCAAGCGUGGUUCGGAUUCAUUGGGCGUAAAGGGUGCGUAGGCGGCGCGGUAAGUCGGGUGUGAAAUCUCGGGGCUUAACUCCGAAACUGCAUUCGAUACUGCCGUGCUUGAGGACUGGAGAGGAGACUGGAAUUUACGGUGUAGCGGUGAAAUGCGUAGAUAUCGUAAGGAAGACCAGUGGCGAAGGCGGGUCUCUGGACAGUUCCUGACGCUGAGGCACGAAGGUCAGGGGAGCAAACGGG